UACGUAGGGUGCGAGCGUUGUCCGGAAUUAUUGGGCGUAAAGAGCUCGUAGGCGGCCUGUCGCGUCGGAUGUGAAAGCCCCGGGGCUUAACCCCGGGGUCUGCAUUCGAUACGGGCAGGCUAGAGUGUGGUAGGGGAGAUCGAAUUCCUGGUGUAGCGGUGAAAUGCGCAGAUAUCAGGAGGAACACCGGUGGCGAAGGCGGAUCUCUGGGCCAUUACUGACGCUGAGGAGCGAAAGCGUGGGGAGCGAACAGG
rnacentral:rRNA from 1 species